UACGUAGGGGCAAGCGUUGUCCGGAAUCAUUGGGCGUAAAGAGCGUGUAGGCGGCCCGAUAAGUCCGCCGUGAAAGUCCAGGGCUCAACCCUGGAAUGCCGGUGGAAACUGUCGGGCUGGAGUCCGGAAGAGGCGACUGGAAUUCCUGGUGUAGCGGUGAAAUGCGCAGAUAUCAGGAGGAACACCGGUGGCGAAGGCGGGUCUCUGGGCCGAUACUGACGCUGGAGGAG
rnacentral:rRNA from 1 species